GUGGAAUAGUUGACAAUCAUUUAUUUACCAGUUUUAGUGGAACCAUUGUAAACAUUGUGUAGACGGUUUCAUAUUAUUACAUACCAUAUGUGGUACAUACUGCUAUUGUUAAAGACGAUGUAAAGUCUGUUCUGCACAUGCAUUCUGCAGGCCUACAUUCCAAUGAUCGGGAACCGACCAUUGGAAUGUUAUUAAUAUUUCGCACCUUCCAAACUUUCUAGAAUUGAAUCUCUGGUCUGUAUUCAUUUACAAACAUAGCAAACCAGAAGAAUUAAAAUUCAGCAUAAUAUAUAUGAUAUAUAUCUAAUAUAGCACUGGGUUCAGAAUGUAAACAAAGGGUUUGUUUACAUAAUUACAUACUUUACAUGGCCUUUAAUGAAACCUUUUUUGGCUACUAACACCAAUGUUUCUGACAGUGUUGUACAGGUAAUACUGUAAACAGAAACAAUAUAUUAUAUCAUCAAACAAUUCUAUCAAACAAGUUGCAAAAGAAUUCAAAUGCUGUUUCAGCUGUUUAAUUGUCGCAUUCAAACCAUGAUGAUUCAUACAUGUACAGUUCAAUUAAAAAAUCCCAAAUCUUGUAUAAACACAGUCCUAGCAUACGUGUACGCUUGUAAGUCUUGUACGCUUGAAUUUCUUUUCAAUAAUAACACUCCAAUAUAGUAGAUCAAGGAUAUAUGCCAUCAUUCCCAUCAAUAUACUCACUCAGAGAGUCAGAGUGAACCAAGAGUAUGAAUUAUUACCAUAACGAAGUCUGUUAUUUUGCCCAAAUGAAUUAAAGUAUGCAAAAAUCAACUACUUAAUCCCUUCACCACUAUUUCGGACGAAAAGCAACAAAAAAUUCGUCGAAAUAAGCACAUUUUCAGGCAAAAUAUUAGCAAAUAUAUCGUAUUCACUCAUAUUGGCCGCGCAUGUGAACGCCACAGGGGGUAUGGGUCCAAUAGCUUAUGGAUCGACCAAUCAGGAUCGUUUUUCAAUCCCGUGUGGCCAGAGCCACUCAACGAUGGCUCUGGGUACGAGAUUGCUGAGCGCGAAGAACGUGUUCCUCCGACCCAGGCUUUUGCAGUGAAUUUGACUUGCGCGACUUUUUUUUCAAAAAUGGCAAAAUUUGAGUGUUUGAGCCGUUGUAUCUCAGAAACU